CUGGAACUCUGUCAGGUCCACGUUCAGGGCGCCGUCGAAGCGCAGGGAGGCGGUGAUGGAGGAGACUAUCUGUCCAAUCAGCCUGUUGAGGUUGGUGUAGGUGGGACGCUCAAUGUCCAGGUUCCUGCGGCAGAUGUCGUAGAUGGCCUCGUUGUCCACCAUGAAGGCGCAGUCAGAGUGCUCCAGGGUGGUGUGGGUGGUCAGGAUGGA